rnacentral:rRNA from 1 species
GAAUAGGGGAGCCGUAGGGAAACCGAGUCUUAAUAGGGCGUCUAGUUGCAGGGUAUAGACCCGAAACCGAGUGAUCUAUCCAUGAGCAGGUUGAAAGUGACGUAACAGUUACCGGAGGACCGAACCCACUGUCGUUGAAAAGCCAGGGGAUGACUUGUGGAUAGGGGUGAAAGGCUAAUCAAACUCGGUGAUAGCUGGUUCUCCCCGAAAGCUAUUUAGGUAGCGCCUCGGACGAACACCAUUGGGGGUAGAGCACUGUUUCGGCUAGGGGGUCAUCCCGACUUACCAAACCGAUGCAAACUCCGAAUACCGAUGAGUGAUAUCCGGGAGACAGACGGCGGGUGCUAACGUCCGUCGUCAAGAGGGAAACAACCCAGACCGCCAGCUAAGGCCCCAAAUUCCUAGUUAAGUGGGAAACGAUGUGGGAAGGCACAGACAGCUAGGAGGUUGGCUUAGAAGCAGCCAUCCUUUAAAGAAAGCGUAAUAGCUCACUAGUCGAGUCGGCCUGCGCGGAAGAUGUAACGGGGCUCAAACUAGGAGCCGAAGCUGCGGAUUUAAUUGUUUCAAUUAAGUGGUAGGGGAGCAUUGUGUA